rnacentral:lncRNA from 1 species
GUGCGGGCUGGUGUUCUCCCGCUGGUGUUCUUGUGCGGGCUGGUGUUCUCCCGCUGGUGUUCUUCCUGGCCUUCUCUCGCUGGUGUUCUGUUGGUGUUCUACCUGUUUUCUUCCUUCUCGAUUUCACGGAUGCCCUGUGCUGAUGACCGAACGCUUCUUCGGUUGGUAAGGAGGUAUUCAUCUUGAUUUUUUGUCGAGGAUUGAGAAAGAUAUCUUCACCUCAGGUAUUAUCUUACCUUGAUCUNNNNNNNNNNNNNNNNNNNNAUUGCCGAGGCUGAGAUUGGUAUAUCCGAUUGGAUCUUUGUUGCCUUCUUUUCGAUACUCUGUUGCCUUCUUGUUGGCUUCGGUUAAGGGUAUUUUAUACCUCAUAUUGUACCUAUUUUUCAGGACGGAUUUAUAGUGGAUUGCUCCUCCUCCCCGUGGAUGUAGGUCUCUUGUGCCGAACCACGUAAAUCUUGAUUUCUUUGUCUUUGUUUAUUUAUGCCUGCAAUGUGUUUGGUGAAUUGUCUCAAAGAGAUUAGACUUUAGAUCAAAAGCCUAGGUCGAUCCAAUCCGAUGCGCGUGAUCUCAACAACAGCUUUGUCUCCGAUGUGAGGGGGCGAGCAUGCAGUCUCACUGGCUAAAUCUGCUUGUUCAAGUCUUUUCAACAUGGCAAC